rnacentral:rRNA from 1 species
AGUGAACGCUGGCGGUAGGCCUAACACAUGCAAGUCGAACGGCAGCACAGUAAGAGCUUGCUCUUACGGGUGGCGAGUGGCGGACGGGUGAGGAAUACAUCGGAAUCUACUUUUUCGUGGGGGAUAACGUAGGGAAACUUACGCUAAUACCGCAUACGACCUACGGGUGAAAGCAGGGGAUCUUCGGACCUUGCGCGAUUGAAUGAGCCGAUGUCGGAUUAGCUAGUUGGCGGGGUAAAGGCCCACCAAGGCGACGAUCCGUAGCUGGUCUGAGAGGAUGAUCAGCCACACUGGAACUGAGACACGGUCCAGACUCCUACGGGAGGAAGCAGUGGGGAAUAUUGGACAAUGGGCGCAAGCCUGAUCCAGCCGUACCGCGUGGGUGAAGAAGGCCUUCGGGUUGUAAAGCCCUUUUGUUGGGAAAGAAAAGCAGCAGGUUAAUACCCCGCUGUUCUGACGGUACCCAAAGAAUAAGCACCGGCUAACUUCGUG